rfam:Stegodyphus mimosarum contig36284, whole genome shotgun sequence.
GCCUUCCUAGCGUAACGGUAGCACACUCGGCUCGUGCUCGAGAGGUCCAAGUUCGAGUCCCGGUGAGGGCA